rnacentral:lncRNA from 1 species
GGUCGGGCGCCUUCUGGUCGGCGCUCCCUGGUCGGGCGCCUUCGUUCCGGGAUAACUUGGGUUUGCCCUCAGCACCAAUCAAUUUAAACUUUUGACUAGCAUUCAAGAAAGGCUCUUUGAUCAAGCCUAUGGAGACCCAAAUCACCAAUAUUUUGGUGAGGCAACCCUGUUCGAGGAAAGUAAUGCGGGAUUAUAUAAGCAGAGCAAAGAAACUUUCUUGACAUCAGCUGCCACAUUCAUAUGGCAGCUCUGACUUCUGGUUGCCAGCUGUUCCAAGGGCCUGCCACAAUGAGACUAAAUGAUUUCCAUCUGGCCUAGAUGGCCAGCUAUCAGCUUCUGGCUUUAUCAAUGCACCGAUACGUUCAUAUAUAUAUAUAUAUAUAUAUAUAACCUUGCAAAAUAUUCUUCAUUUGUUUUGCAUGGAUACAUUGCAGAUAUAGCUUGUUAUAUAUUCUCUAAAAAUUAUUAUCUAUAUAUCUGUCAAACUAUCUUUUUUU